rnacentral:tRNA from 1 species
GGAGGAAUACCCAAGUCCGGCUGAAGGGAUCAGUCUUGAAAACUGACAGGGCGUUUAUAGCGCCGCGGGGGUUCGAAUCCCUCUUCCUCCG